AGAAUGGAGUCCAAAAUGAGAAAAAUUCGCGUUAUUUACCAUGAUCCUUAUGCGACUGAUUCCGAUUCAAGUGAUGAUGAAUCAGCGAGAAAGGUAAAGAGAUCGUUUAAAUCAAAACGAUUUGUACGCGAGAUCAAUCUUCCUUUCAUUGUUUUUCGUCAGACCAAAGCCCUUGAACCUGAGAGUUCCUGUCAAGACAGUAACAACAGUGGCAAAACCCGCAACAAGAAGAGAAGGGUUUUGGGUAAAUCCUCAACCCCUACAACAACUACAGCAACAACAAUUACUGAAACAAAAGCGGCUCCGAAGAAACCUGUAGGUGUUAGGCAGAGGAAGUGGGGUAAGUGGGCUGCAGAAAUUAGAAAUCCAGUGACAAAAGCCAGAACUUGGUUGGGUACUUACAAUACUCUCGAGGAGGCUGCCCAGGCCUAUGAGGCAAAGAAACGGGAGUAUGAUGCUAUGACUAUGACACGCUCUGAGAAGAGCCAAAAUAUAUCAUCUUCUGUGGCAGCUUCUCAGUCGCAAAAGAUCAACAACAGCAGCAAUAGCAAUCCUGCUCCUGCUACCUCAGAUGACACUGAGAGUGUGUUAUCGCAUACUUCUCCGUCUUCAGUCCUAGACGUGGACACUUCCUUGUGUCAAAUCUUAAUGGUGACUCUAGUGAUUUGAUCAAAGAAGAAGGUUUUGAUACAGAUGUUGUUGAUCUUGAGAUACCUGAUUUGGGUUUUAUUAACGAGCCAUUGGGUUCUUGCCCAGUUGACGGAGAUCUUAACUUGGGAUUGGAGUUUGAUGACCUCAUUGAUGAUUUUGGGCAAUUUUAUGAUAAUUAUUGUGGCAUUGAAGAUCUUGAAAUUCGCGGGUUAGACAGUUGUGAACCAAGCGAGCUCCCUGAUUAUGAUUUUGAGUUUGGCAAUGAGGAAUUUGCUUAUUUGGAUGAUCAUCAUCAUCAACAGCACCAACUACCCCUCAAUAUUGCAUGCCCAUAAGUUUUGCAG
rnacentral:misc_RNA from 1 species